AGAGUUUGAUCCUGGCUCAGGACGAACGCUGGCGGCGUGCCUAACACAUGCAAGUCGAGCGGGGUUACUGGGGUUCAGCUUGCUGAACGCCACUGACCCAGCGGCGGACGGGUGAGUAACGCGUGAGCAAUCUGCCUCAUACAGGGGGAUAACAGGCGGAAACGCCUGCUAAUACCGCAUAAGACCACGCCACCGCAUGGUGGAGUGGUCAAAGGGUGCACAGACGAGAGGCUGUGCAUACCGGUAUGAGAUGAGCUCGCGUCCCAUUAGCUUGUUGGUGAGGUAACGGCUCACCAAGGCGACGAUGGGUAGCCGACCUGAGAGGGUGAUCGGCCACACUGGGACUGAGACACGGCCCAGACUCCUACGGGAGGCAGCAGUGGGGAAUAUUGCGCAAUGGGGGGAACCCUGACGCAGCAACGCCGCGUGAGCGAAGAAGGCCUUCGGGUCGUAAAGCUCUGUCAUAGGGGAAGAGGAGAAGACGGUACCCUAUGAGGAAGCCCCGGCUAACUACGUGCCAGCAGCCGCGGUA
rnacentral:rRNA from 1 species